AUUGAACGCUGGCGGCAGGCCUAACACAUGCAAGUCGAGCGGAUGAAGGGAGCUUGCUCCUGGCUUCAGCGGCGGACGGGUGAGUAAUGCCUAGGAAUCUGACUGGCAGUGGGGGAUAACGUCCGGAAACGGGCGCUAAUCCCGCAUCCGUCAAGAGGUAGAAAGUGAUGGAUCUUUAGACCUAACGCUAUCAGAUGACACUAGGUCGGAUUAGCUAGUUGGUGAGGUAAAGGCCUACCAAGGCGACGAUCCGUAACCGGUCUGAGAGGCUGAUCAGUCACACUGGAACUGAGACACGGUCCAGACUCCUACGGGAGGCAGCAGUGGGGAAUAUUGGACAAUGGGCGAAAGCCUGAUCCAGCCAUGCCGCGUGUGUGAAGAAGGUCUUCGGAUUGUAAAGCACUUUUAGUUGGGAAGAAGGAAAGUAAGUUAAUACCUUGCUGUUUUGACGUUACCAACAGAAUAAGCACCGGCUAACUUCGUG
rnacentral:rRNA from 1 species